AGUGAACGCUGGCGGCAGGCCUAACACAUGCAAGUCGAACGGCAGCACAAGAGGGCUUGCUCUCUGGGUGGCGAGUGGCGGACGGGUGAGGAAUGCAUCGGAAUCUGCCCAUUUGUGGGGGAUAACCUCGGGAAACCGGGACUAAUACCGCAUACGACCUACGGGUGAAAGCAGGGGAUCUUCGGACCUUGCGCAGAUGGAUGAGCCGAUGCCGGAUUAGCUAGUUGGAGGGGUAAAGGCCCACCAAGGCGACGAUCCGUAGCUGGUCUGAGAGGAUGAUCAGCCACACUGGGACUGAGACACGGCCCAGACUCCUACGGGAGGCAGCAGUGGGGAAUAUUGGACAAUGGGCGCAAGCCUGAUCCAGCCAUGCCGCGUGUGUGAAGAAGGCCUUCGGGUUGUAAAGCACUUUUGUUGGGAAAGAAAAGCAGCCGGUUAAUACCCGGUUGUCAUGACGGUACCCAAAGAAUAAGCACCGGCUAACUUCGUG
rnacentral:rRNA from 1 species